GAUGAACGCUGGCGGCGUGCCUAAUACAUGCAAGUCGAGCGAACAGAUGAGGAGCUUGCUCCUCUGACGUUAGCGGCGGACGGGUGAGUAACACGUGGAUAACCUACCUAUAAGGCUGGGAUAACUUCGGGAAACCGGAGCUAAUACCGGAUAAUAUAUUGAACCGCAUGGUUCAAUAGUGAAAGACGGUUUUGCUGUCACUUAUAGAUGGAUCCGCGCCGCAUUAGCUAGUUGGUAAGGUAACGGCUUACCAAGGCAACGAUGCGUAGCCGACCUGAGAGGGUGAUCGGCCACACUAGAACUGAGACACGGUCCAGACUCCUACGGGAGGCAGCAGUAGGGAAUCUUCCGCAAUGGGCGAAAGCCUGACGGAGCAACGCCGCGUGAGUGAUGAAGGUCUUCGGAUCGUAAAACUCUGUUAUUAGGGAAGAACAAAUGUGUAAGUAACUAUGCACGUCUUGACGGUACCUAAUCAGAAAGCCACGGCUAACUACGUG
rnacentral:rRNA from 1 species